rnacentral:lncRNA from 10 species
CUCUAUCCUAGAGAUACUGUUGAAACUGACCUUAAACCAGAACAUCUUAGUAGAGCUGGGAGAAGUCAGGAAGUAAGCUCAAUCCCAUUCUGCAGAUUGGUAAAUGGGACCCAGAGGAGUUAAGUGAAUGAUGCAAGGUGUAGCUUUAGCCAACAGCUGGGCCAGGGGCAAGACUUAGCUUCCUUUCGCCUUCUGGUCUAUUUACCACUACACAGUGUCUUAACUCAGGCAACAGAACAAUAUGAACUCUUGUUACCCUGAGGACCAUGGCAACUAUUAUUCAACAUCUAGGGAGUGUCCUCUCAUCCAUUCGUUAAGUUGUAAUUUUGACCCUAUCCCAUGUGGCUCAGAAAUACUUGGCAUAUGACAACAACAGAAAUGAAACAAAAGACUUUGCUUCUACAGACUAACCGGACCAGCAAGGAAGAAGACCACUUUCUGAAAAUGACCAUCCUUUGUCAAGAAACAAACACCCGCUUUUCCUCAUUCAGUGAUGUGAAUGAACAAAAUGUCAGGUAGAUGAGUCAAAGAAGAGGCUGUGAUACCUGUAAGAAGACCUGCAGAGGCAACUUAAGAUAAGCUAGCUGUCCCCGAAAGGUGGAUUUGAAAAAACUCAACCUCGUCUACAUCAUAUGACAGUAGAUGUGUUUACCAAAAGACAAAUGCAAAAUGAAUUCUGAAAAAUCAAAUAAAACUAAAGCACAAAGGAUACCUUUGCAGCAAAGAUUCCUCAUGAAUGUGAUUGCUCUACUUUGUAUGUACGUAAUUUUGUUUGUCAAACUUUAUCAAGCAAUGCAUACUAAAAGUGUAUACUUAGAGUAUACUAUAAACUCUAACAGUCAAUUUCUAUAUGUUGGAAGAAAUGUGUCAACAUAAAU